AGACGCUUCAACCAAAAACCAGCGUGGAGCAUAGGCUUAGAAAUGAAAAAAGGAGGCAACAAAGAGAUUGGGAUUUUCUGUAAAAAGGGUGGUUGCCCCUCUCUGUUAUGCCUAUGACUUCUCCAUUGAAAAUCAACAGCCCUUUCAAUUAUACAAGAAAAACAACAAAAAUCAUCCAAACACACCCCUAAUAUAUAUUCCUCUUCUUUUCCUCCUCUCUUUGUGGUGCUGCUACUGAAUACCGAUGUUGUAAUGGGGCUGUGAUGAUUGCCUUUUCCAUUUCUGGCUAUGUUCAAUUCACGGUAUUGAGAAACUAUCCGACCCGUAUCUUGGCGGGGCGACCCGGUACGGUUUUUGUAUAGCUAACUGGUGUUUGCAGCCAUGGUGGCGUCGCCUUCUCUUUUGCUUUGACAAAAAAUACAGCAAAUCUGAGCCCUCACGAAAAUGUCCGUGUAAUAGCCUGUUUGGCCGUGAUUCUAAAACCAACUUAUUAGGCUGAAGAAACUAACCUUUAUUUUUUUAGUCCUCACAAGUCUGCAAUUAUGAAAAGGGUGAAGGUUAGCCCAGAAGAAUUUAAAGAAAUGAGGCCCUUAUUUUUUUAGUCCUUACAAGUCUGCAAUUAUGAAAAGGGUGAAGGUUAGCCCAGAAGAAUUUAAAGAAAUGAGGCAUAAACAGAGAGUUUGGGAUUUUCUUUGAAAGGGUGGUUGCCCCUCUCUGUUUCACUAUUGAUUUUCCUCCCAUUAUUUAAAAAAAGAGAAAAAAAGUAUCAACCGCCCUUUUUAUCUUUAUGACUGAAGAAUUUUAUUUUGUGUCUCGUACAACUCUUUUGUCUCACCGUUUUGUGGACCCAAAAGUGCACAAAAUAAAACUUCUCCUUUAUGACAAAAGCAGAAGCAGCAGAAAUGAUUUUAGUUAUAUAUACUAGCAUCUCUGUUUGAGCCUUGCUUAAUGGUAAAGUUGAUGCCAUGGUUCGAGCUGCCUCAUGCAGAAAUACAGUGUAAGGCAUGCGACCCCGUGCUAUGCCCUUUAUACUAGCAUCUCUGUUUGGAAGCAGCGCACUAAGUUUGUUGUUGUUGUUGUAUACUAACAUUUCUGUUUUUCCUAUGUGUGUUAUGUUACUGUGUUGUUGGAAGGUACAUAAAGAGCACUGAUGAUGAUGUUUCUAUAUCCCGGCUAACCGAUUUGGGCAUUGAGAUGAGCCGACCCGUAUCUUGGUGUGGCAACCUGGUAUGGCCUAUGAUUGAGAGUUUUGAAUCUUCUCUCACAUGCAACCGGUGUUUUGCAGCCAUGGCGUUGUUGGCUUCUCUUUUGCCUUAUCAUAACACACAUCUGACCCUCAUUUGCUUGAAAGUACAAAAGUUAGAAUCUUUUCCAUGAUUCGAUGUUGGGAUAUGUCGAACCUGUAACCUUCUGCCACGACUAUUAGAUUGCAAACCCAGUAACUCCAAAUGAUAUGUAGAAAUUCAAACUCGAAUAAAGUUCAAAUUCGGAAUCCGCCUCGGGAUGGAAAUGCAUUUAUCUGUCUGUACAGCGUACACUAACACCCUGUUUGGAUGGUUGUUCUCAUUGUAUUGUAUUGUUACCUUGAAAAGCUACACAACUAAAAAUAUGGAGAAGAAAUUAUAACCAGGAGAUAAAAAAGACCUCAAUGGUCCCUUAAGUUCAGGGGAAAGUCUGUAACGGGGCUGUGAUGAUUGAUUGUUUUCCGAGCUUCAUGGAAUCAGGAUUUGAUAGGCCGUAUCUUGGCUGGGCUGCUCGAUAACGGGAUUUGCAGCAAUGGCAGUGCUUGAGAUGGAGGUCAGACCCGAGCCUCAAAAUCUUUGUUAUUAUCAUCUCUACUUUACCAGAAGAAAGAAUGAGGCCAACAGGGGUAAGAGCGAGUUCUAGGAGGGUGGUUGCCCCCUCUGUUUGUCCUAUGAUGUCUUCUGUAAUAAAACCAACAACCCUCUUUCCUGAAAGAAAACCAAGAAAGCAAACAUCUGGCGCCUUUGCGUUAGGCAUGUAUGAGCUUAGUCCUAAACUUCCACACUUACAUGAAAUGAAUGAAAGAGUCAACAUUCUGAAAGAGGCAGUUAUUGUACUUGUUUAUUUGUGCUAUAAACCAUUAGGGCAUAGAGACAAUUUGACCCGUAUCUUGGCUUGGUAUGGGUCCUUAUCCUAUGAGCCGGGGGUCGAUUGGAAACAGCCUCUCUGCCCUUUCGGGUAGGGGUANNNNNNNNNNNNNNNNNNNNNNNNNNNNNNNNNNNNNNNNNNNNNNUCUGCCCUUUCGGGUAGGGGUAAGGCUUGUCUACAUAUUACCCUCCCCAGACCCCACCUGGUGGGAGUAUACUGGGUAGUUGUUGUUGUUGUUGUAUCUUGGCGUGGUAUGGGCUGUGAUUUGAGGACCUCUUUCACAUGCAAUCGAUUGUUUGCAGCCGUGGUGUGGCCGGCUUCUCUUUUGUCUUACCAAAACACACCUCUGAGCGCCAUUUGCUUUAAGAAAAUAAACAGAAUCUUUUCCGUGAUCUAAUGUUGGGCUAUGUCAAACCGACGAUUUUCUGCGACAAGUUGCAAACCAUCUUGCAGUCCUCAUUUAUCACCAUCUUGUUUCAGUAUCAGUUGAGGAUAGCCUAGAAAUAUAGAAGAAUGAGGCAUCAGAGAGACUGGGAUUUUCUGUAAAGGGUGGUUGCCCCUCUUUACUAUGCCCAUGAUUUUUCCAUUUAUAACCAAAAACAACAGCCCUUUCAAAUAAACAAGAAAAAAAAAAUGAAAUCCUUAAUCCAAACACACACUAUUAUGUUGCUCUUCCUCUUCUUUUUGUGCUGCUGCUACUGAUGCUGUAAAGGGGCUAUGAAGAUUGCUUUACUUUCUGGGCUAUGUUCAGUCAUGGCAUUGAGAAGAUACCUGACCUGUAUCUUGGCAUGGCAAGACGACCCAAUAUGUCUGUUGUAUAGCAAGCUGGUGUCUGCAGCCAUGGCAACAUCGCCUUCUCUCUUGCUUUGAUCAAAACAGUAAAUCUGAGCCCUCAAUGGCCAAACAGAGAGAAAGUCAUAGAAUGAGAUAUCAGUGAGAAAUAUUAUUUAUUUAUUUAUUUAUUUAUGCAUUCGUUCAGUUUUGCUGAUAAGCCCAUGCUUUCUUGCUGGAAGCAAUUAACAAUGCUUAGUUCUUUCUGUAAAUCUAUCUUCGAGAGAUGCAUGUUGUUGAUCUGCUGUUGCUGUUGCUGCUACCAUUCUUUUGUUCUCGCUGCUAUGUGGCUGCAUUAACACCCAAACAACGAGGAUCAUACUAAAGAUAAAGGUAAAAGUGAACAUUUUGAGGCAGUGAUGAUAUGACUCUUGCAAAUGGCGUUAUUGAUUUGCAUUGAGAUGGCUUAAACUUGUAUCUUGGCAGGGCAAUCUGGAGGAGAUUGCAGCCAUGGCGGUUUUGAGAAACUCAAUGCCUGAUCAUAGUGAGAUAUGAGCCUCAUAUGAAAAUAGCAAAAAUCUCAUUAGUUUAAGUCUGAGGCUUUUGUUGAAGCAGAGGGCUGUGGGGAGUUUCAAUUAGUGGUUUUGCCCCUUUCUGUCAUUCUCUGAUGCCGAUGAUCACUCGAAUGAAAAUAUUUUCCGAUUCCAAAACCAGCCUUUUGGUGAAAAUACAUAUAACCUCUCUAUUUUCCUUUCUUGUCACUCCUGUUUCAUGUUAUGUAAUGCAACGAGGCAAUGAAGAUUUUGUUCUUCUGUGAAAGAUGAAUCAAGACAUAUAUUUCUAUUGAGCUGCGAAAAAACUGUAACUUGGCAUGGUAGCUCAGAUGAGUCUGUGAGAUAUUGGAAAAUGUUCCAUUUCUUUGGUGCUUCUUCCGUGUCUCUUAAGGCUUAUUGAUGCUUGCAGCCAUGGUGGUUUUACCAAAGCACUUUUGGUUUUUGUCCGAGGAAAGGCGAAUCUGAGCAUUUUUACUUUGAGUUUGGUUUUUGGUUCUCUCUUCUCCUUGGUUUUACCCCAUUAAUCUAAGGUUACCCCGAAAGCUUUCACUGAUGACUCACUCCUAAUUCCUAAAGAAAGAAAGCGAAAUAUGUACAAGAGUUUUUGGUUUUCACUCUUCUCCUUGGUUUUGCCUCAUUAAUCUGAGGUUACCCGAAAGCUUUCACUAAUGACUCACUUCUAAUUCAUAAAGAAAGAAAGAUAAUAUAUUCAAGAAAUAAUUUAUUUUUACAGCUUUCAGGGUAGUAGAAAAAGAACUGUUAUGGAGAUGUAACAAAACAAAAGCUCAGGAGAACGAGAAUGAGGCUUCAGAUAGUUUAGGAUUUUCUGUUGAAAGGGUGGUUGCCUCUCUCUGUAUUAGUCCAUGAUUUCUCCAUUACUAUAACAAUCCCAACAGCCCUGUAAAAAUUUCAUGGAAUGGCCAGUUUUCACCUUGCUAUUUAAGGUAUAUCCAGUUUUUUCAAAGUAUUUAAGUUGUAGCUAGUGUUGGUGAGUAUGAUUGACUGCUUGAAAGAGGUGAUGAUGAUUUCUGGUCAAUCUUCUAUUCCCUUCUGAGCUUAUCAAUUGGGCAUUGUAUUAGCCCAUGAUUUCUCAAUUACUGUAACAAUCCCAACAACCCUGUAAAAAUUUCAUGGAAUGGCCAGUUUUCACCUUGCUAUUUAAGGUAUAUCCAGUUUUUUCAAAGCAUUUAACUUGUAGCCAGUGUUGGUGAGUAUGAUUGACUGCUUGAAAGAGGUGAUGAUGAUUUUUUGUCAAUUUUCUAUUCCCUCUGAGCUUAUCAAUUGGGCAUUUGAGAUGAUUUUGACUCUUAUCUUGGCAGGGCAUGCCCCUAGAUUUCUGGUGUUUUUUUGCAGCCAUGGCACCAUCAGGAUCUCCUUUUGCUUGACUUAUAACACAGAUCUGUGCCUCUAAACCGUAAUCAGAUCUACCCGGUUGGUCCGAAGCAGGGGCGAUUUGCACAAAUAGGAUUCUGAGGUCACUAUUAAUAUUUUGUUGCGCAAGUUUUUUGCAAAUCUCAUUAGUUUAGUUUAAGUCUGAGGCUGCGAUGAAAGCAGAGAGCUGUGGGGGGUUUCAAUGGAUGGUUUUGCCCCUCUCUGUCAUUUUGCGCUACCAGUGAUCGCUCCAAUGAAAAACUUUUACAACUAAUAAACCACCCUAAAUACAUACGACCUUGCUAGUUUCCUUUUCUUGUUACUCUCUUGGUUUCAUUUUAUGUGCAAUGAGGCUAUGAAGAUUUUGUUUUUCUGCGGAAUAUGUAUCAGAUAUCUUUCUAUUACAACAACGUCAAUAUACCCAUUGAAAUCCCACUAGUAGAGACGGGGAGGGUAGUGUGUGCGCAGGCCUUAACCCUACCCUUAUGAAGAUAGAAAUGUUAUUUCCGAUAGAGUUGUAAAAAUUAGAUUUGAGAUUAUCCGGACUGCAUCUUAGCGGGGCAUGCCCCCAGAUUUCUUUUGGUUUAUGCAGCCAUGGCGUCUUUGGAUCUCUUUUUGCAUUGUCUAGUUGAAGUGUCUCAAUGACAAUUCAUGACAAGUUUGAGGGGCUAUCUAUGUAUUCUGCCUAUCUGAAAUAACAAUUCAUAUACAAUACAAGCUGUUAUUAGUCUAUUUGGUUUAGAGACAAAGAAUGAGGGUUGCAGAGAGUAGAGGGAAGCUCAAAGGCAGCUGCUCCUCUCUACAAUACCUGUGAUUUCAUUUUUGCCAAACAAGGCCCUAAUGUGGUAAACUGUAUCCAAAUGACCCCUCUACUCUAUCUCCAAAUCCUCACUCCCAAAAAGUGAAUCAAUAAUUAUAAUAUUAAUUGUAGCAAAAAUAUGAGGCUGUGAUGAUAUUUUUUCUUCUGUCUCUGAAGAAAAUCAAUUAGGAAAGAGAAAAAGAACAAUUCGACCCGUACCUUGGCGGGGCGACCGGGACGGUGACGACUUGCAACCGGUAUUUGCAGCCAUGGCGGUGUCUCCAAUCUCUUGCCCAAGCUUUAAUAUUACAGAUCUGAGCCUCAAUUGGAAGGUUUUUUUCUCAAGUGCAAACUUACAGGCUCUUUUCCGUUGAACGUUGAAAUUCUCAGCUGAAAAACCCAUGAGAAUUUCCCCUAAAUAUGCAAAAAGAUUAGCCCAGAAAGAAAUGAAGCAAAGCAGAGAAUAUUGGGAUUUUCAUUUGAAGGGUGGUGGCCCCUCUCUGUUCUGCCAUUGAUUUUCCUCCAUUUAAAAAAAAAACAACAGCCCUUGUUUAUGACAAAAGAAGAAGCAGACGAUCUUUGGACAUAAGAAUUAUAAAAUUCCUGAAAAAAGUAAACUUUUCAGUGAAAUCUCUAUUUACUUUUUGUGUGUGUGUUUAUGUUGCUGAUGGAAGUUACAUAAGAGGCAGUGAUGAUGAUGUUUCUUGUAUCUGGGCUAACCGAUUUGGUCAUAGAGAUGACUGGACCCCCGUAUCUUGGCGUGGCAACCUUGUAUGGCCUGUGAUUGAGAUUUAUGUCUCUCACUUGCAACUGGUGUUUUGCAGCCAUGGCAUAGCUGGCUUCUCUUUGCCUUAUCAUAACAUAUCUGAGCCCCAUGUGCAAGAAAAGAAAAGAAAGAUAAUCUUUUCUAUGAUUUAGAUUAUCAGGAAAAUAGGAACGGGAGUCUUGGAGUAACAUAGCUUUGCCCCAUUUGUAAUCUUUUCUAUGAUUUGGAUUAACACGAAAAUAGGAAGGGGAGUCUUGGCGUAAUGGUAAGUUCUCCUUGUGUGACCUAUCAUUCACGAGUUCGAGUUGUCAAAGCGUUCACAACUAUUGGUUCUUGCAUUAGGGUAUCUGUCUACAUUACACUCCUUGAGUGCAGCGACUCCCCGGGCCCUCGCGAACGUAGGUUGUCUUGUGCACCAGGCUGCCCUUGGAUUAACAGGAAGAUAACAAAAAACUCAUUUGUUAGUUCGAGGCUGCGGUCACGGCAGAGAGCUGUAGGAAGUUCCUUUGGGUGGUUUUGCACCUCUGUAGUUGUCCCCCGCUGAUGAUCGCUCAAAUGCCCCUUUUUAGAACAACCCUUUGGUGAAAAUACGUAUUACUCCCUCCCUUUCAAUUUAUGUGAUGCAAUGAGGCUACGAAGGAAGGGGAGCCUUGGCGUGACGGGUAAAGUUGAUGGCAUGUGAUCAGGAGAUCACGGGUUCAAGCCGUGGAAAAUAUGCAGCUAAGACUGCGUACAAUACUCUUGUGUUCUGGCCCAUCACCGGAACGGUGGACCCUGCAUAAUGGGAGCUUAGUGAACCGGUCCGCCCUGAAUGAGGCUAUGAAGAUUUUAUUCUUCUGUGGGAGAUGAAUCAGACUUACAAAUCUAUUGAGCUGGGAAAAAUUUGUAAUCUUGGCGUGGCAGCUCAGAUGGGGCAGAAGAAUCCAUUUUUGUGUGUUUUUUCCCUUUUUCAUAAGACUAACUGAUGCUUGCAGCCAUGACGGUCUUUUUCCAAAGCUUUUUGGGUUUUUGGCUGAGAAAAGGAGAAGAAUGAGGCAACAGAGAGAUUGGGAUUUUCUGUAAAAGGGUAGUUGCCCCCCUCUGUUAUUCCUACGAUUUCUCCAUUGUAAAUCAACAGUCCUUUGAAUUAAACCCAAAAGAAAAAAAUCAUUCAAUCAGACCCUUAAUAUAUUGCUCAUCCUCUUCCUCUUUGUCCUCUCUUUGUGUUGCUGCUACUGAAUACUGAUGUAUAUAUAGGGACUGAUUUUUGCUUUUCGUUUCUGGCUAUGUUCAAUUCAUGGCAUUGAGAAAAUAUCCGACCCGUAUCUUGGCAGGGCGGGCGAGUACGUCUUUUGUAGAGCAAACUGGUGUCUACAGCUAUGGCAGCACUGCGUUCUCAUUUGCUUUGACAAAAAAUACAGCAAACCUGAGCCUUCACGAAAAGGCCCAUGUAAUAGCCUGUCUGGCCUUGCUUCCAAAAUCAUCUUUAAGAAACUAACCCUUAAUUUUUGAGACUUCACAAGUAUGCAAUUAUGAGAAGGGAAAAGGUUAGCCCAGAAGAAUUAAAGAAAUGAGGCAAAAACAGAGUUUGGGGUUUUCUUUGAAAGGGUGGUUGCCCCUCUCUGUUUCACCAUUGAUUUUCCUCCAUUAAUUUUAAAAAUAGGACCAACAGCCCUUGCUUAUGUCUUUAUGACAAAAGCAGAAGCAGCAGAAAUGAUUUAAGUUAUAUAUACUGAUAUCUCUGUUUAGAAACAGUCUCUAAGACUUCGUACUCGCUGUCCUCCCCAAAUCCACUUGUGAGAUUAUACUGGUUUUUUGUUGCUCUUUGUUGUUGCAUACUGACAUCUCUGUCUUUUCUCUAUGUUCUUUUACGGUAUUGAUGGAAGGUACAUAAUGUGGCAGUUAUGAUGUCUCGGCUAACCGAUUUCAGCAUUGAGAUGAACUGACCCGUAUCUUGGCGUGGCAAUCCGGGAUGGCCUGUGGAGAGUUUUGAAUCUUCUCUCACACAUGCAACUGGUGUUUUGCAGCCAUGGGAUAGUUGGUUUCUCUUUUAUCUUAUCAUAGCACACAUCUGAGCCGCAUUUGCUUGAAAGUACCAAAACAUAAUCUUUUCCAUGAUUCUUUGUUUGGAUAUAUCAAACCUGUGACCUUCUGCCACAACUACAAAUUUGAAUUUGAGAUUAUCCCUACGAUAUCUUGGCAGGGCAUGCCCCCGGAUUUCUGGUGGCUUAUGCAGCCAUGGAGUCAUCGGAUCUCUUUUUGCAUCUCUCUAGUUGAAGUGUCUUCAAUGACAAUUCAUGACUAGUUUAAGGGGCUAUCUAUGUAUUUUGCCUAUCUGAAAUAACAAUACAAUACAAUGGUAACAACCAUCCAAACAACCAUCUAUGUAUGCCAGUUGUGGUGAUUAUGAUUGACGGCUUGAAAGUGGCGAUGAUGAUUUUGUGAUUAUUUCAUUCCAUUCUGAGCUUAUUAAUCAGGCAUUUGAGAUUAUCUGACCUGUACUUUGGCGGGGCAUUCUUCAGGUUUCCCUUGGUGGUAUUUGCAGCCAUGGCGAUAUCGGACUCUUUUUGCCUGAGUUAUAACACAGAUCUGAGCCUCAAAAAGGAAGCACGAAAAUGGUGAUAAUCUCAUUAGUUGAAGUCUGAGGCUGUGGUGGAAGAGAGAGCUGUUGGGAGUUUCUAUGUAGGGAUGGCAAUUGGGGCUGGGCGGGGCUGGGCAGGGCAAACUUUAAAUGGGUCAGGGCAGGCGAAGUUUUUAAUGGGGCGGGGCGGGGCAGGGCAGGGCAGGGCUAAUUUUUUUAAUAAAAAAUAGUGGGUUAGGGCAGGGCAGGGCUUUAUGUUGGAAUAUGGGAAGCUGCCACAUGAGUUCCUUUAAUCCCUUUGGAUUCAAUGCAUCAAAUGCUGGAAUAUGCACCAUUUUCUCUUAUCCCCUUAUUUUAAUUACUGCAAUUUCAUAAAUUUUAUGGCUUUUUCCUUUUCCAUUUUUUUUGGGAGCUAGACUAAUAGGGAUAGCGCUGCACCACUUAUCACAGAACUUGCUUUCCCUUUCUUCUUCAUCAUAUGCUUUGGCGGCUCAAAUGAAAUGCUAAGUAUUGAAUUCUCUUUUUCUAAAGCCACAACCUUCUUUUUUGGGGGGAACUGCAACUAAUGAACUGUUAGCCAUCGAGGCAUUAUCAAACGUGACAUGUUCACUACGUUCUCUCUUUGUACGAAAUAGUAUAGGUUUUAUCGUGGUGGCAUUGUUGUUGUUAUCGACCUUGUUAUUCCGAGUUUCUAUUUCUUCAUUGUAGUUCAGAAGAUGUGCAUUUUCUUCCAGGUAUAAGAAUUUAAAUAUAAAAAGUGUUGUAUUUUGCCACAUAUUACUCCACACCAGAGUGUUAAAGUUUCUGUUCAAUUAUGGAGCUACACACAAUAGUGUACUUAUAGAAGUUACAAAAAUAAACAGGGGGGGGGNNNNNNNNNNNNNNNNNNNNNNNNNNNNNNNNNNNNNNNNNNNNNNNNNNNNNNNNNNNNNNNNNNNNNNNNNNNNNNNNNNNNNNNNNNNNNNNNNNNNNNNNNNNNNNNNNNNNNNNNNNGGGGGGGGGGGGGGGGCAGGGCAGGGCAGGGCAAAAAUUUGAGAAAAUACUAAAUGAGGCGGGGCAGAGGGGGUCAAAAUGUUAGCAGGCCAAGGCUUGCCCCGCCCUGCCCUAUUUGCCAUCUCUACUUCUAUCAUUCUAUGGGUGGUUUUGCCUGUCUUUUUCUGCUGCAGAUGAUCUCUCAAAUGAAAAAAUUUCCAAUUGCAAAACCGCCCUUUUGGUUAAAUUUCAGUUGACCUCCUCUUUUCCUUUUCUAGUAACUCCUCCACUUCAUUUUAUGUGCAAUGAGGCUAUGAAGAUCUUGUUCUUCUGCGGAAGAUGAAUCCAAUAUAUCUUUCUAAUGAGCUGAAAAAAUCUGUAUCAUGGCGUGGCAGCUCAGAUGGGUCUUUGAGGUAUUUGAAAAAAUCCCAUCUUUUUGGUUUUUCUUCUAUCUCUGUCAAGAGUAACUGAUGCUUGCAGCUAUGACAGUUUUUUGAAAUCUUUUUGGUUUGUCUAGGAAAAGGUGAAUCUGCCUACUUACAUUGCCUUGAUUUUGUUAAAAGAAUGAGGCUUUUUGACUCAUAAAUGAAGGGGUUCUUAAGGGUGGUUGCUCUGUUUCUCUUUGAGUUGAUACAUAUCUUGGCUUGACAAAGUUCAGUCGAAUUUGUGGGUUGGUUUUAUUUUCUCUUACAGUAAGCCAUCUGCCUUUUGUAACCAUGGCGGACUUGCCCAUUUUCUGAUGGUUUUUGGACCAAUCUGAGCAUCAUUUCUGUUAAACUUUGAAUUCCUUCUACAAUCUAUCUGCUCUGAUUAUGUUCUUUUUAAUUUAUAAUGUUUUGAAUUCUCUAACAUUCUCAUCAUGACCUCCUCCAUAAAUCUGGAAAAAUCCCAAUUUCAAAAAGACUGUCAUUUAGUCAUCAAAUUUUGUUAUGCAUGUUGAAAACCCACGUUGCUGAGGCAGUUAAUAUUUUUGAUGUUUUAAAGAUUGAAACAUUGUUUUUGAGCUAAUUCCUAGACCUGGCUCGGCAACCAUUAUUCUGAAAUAAUUUCUCUAAAUUUAUUUCUGAAUAUUAGUAUUUGAACAGGAAAUUGGUGUAGCAGCACAACUGUCACAACCACAACCGAACCACAUAUUCCCUGUUUCUGGAAUUCUAGGUAUUGAUGUGAACUCUAAGGUCUAUAUUUGAGUUACUAUAUUUUUCUAAAGAUGAACUAUUUGAUACCUUAUUCUAUUCUACAUUACAAAUAGUUUUUAACUAUUUGUAAUGAAUUUCUAUGUUGCUUCAUCGAUAUGACUGCGAAAUUUUUUUCUUUUGACGAUAAUUCUAGGAAUGCAAAUGAUAAUGUCUAUUUUUGAAUUUCUUUGUUGAUAAAUAUGUUCCUUUUUGAUACUUAGUCCUAGUUUUCCCUUUUUUUAACUUUGUAAUGAAUGCAAAUGUGAAUGCUCGGAGAUGGGUGUGUCUUAACGUGUUUCUCUUUGUCUAGAAUAAUAGGCAUCAUUGCUAAAGAUAUACUAUCCGAUACUUUAUCCUUAUUUUCUCUGUUUCUUAAAAGAAUCACAAUGUUGCCUCUUUGAUACGUUAAUUUGUUUCCUUCUGUCUAGAAAUUUAGGCCUGUGAAUAUAUGACGUCUAUGUUUGAGUUAACUUUGUUGCUAGAUUUUUUAUUGGAUUUAUCCUUGUUGAAUUCCAUAAUUUCGUCAUCAUUACCUGUACUUUGAACUGUAAUAUACUCAACUUUGAAAAUAAUGUAAUACUGCUGAAUCAAUUUAUGCAGGAAACUCUGCAUUUGCUGCUGUCAGAAUACAAGCCAAAAGCUAAAUUUUUCAUCUGUUGGUAACAUUUGUAAGCUACUAUAUGUAUUUUUUUUUUGAGAUUAUAUACCGCUUGUUACCUUUUAUGGGGUAUGAUAUUAAGCAAACUUGAAUUUUGUAUUUCAAUUAAAAAGCAAUGUUUUUCAUUUUUCACCGUUGGCCUGUGACGAGUUGGUACUGGAGGGAGGGUAAAGAUGUAAGCUAUCAUGAGGCUCUAAUAUACACAUACAAAUAUAUUCUAUCUGUCAACUAUUCCAAUAAAAUAGCAAUAUAAUAGGGAAAUGUGAUUUAUUAUUUGUGUACAUGGUUCAUUGCAGUAGUUCACAUGCACUUUGUGAAAACAAGAAGUCAUAAACCAUGUUCUUUUCCUUCAAUUGAAUUUGUUCAUUCUAUGCAUUAAGGAAUAUCCUAAAUGAUGAGUAAUUCAAGUAAGCUAUGGAUUAAUAUCCAAAUGAAGCUUUUUGUCAAAGUUCCACUGAUAGAUGAGAUGCUUUUUUAGGUCUAUUUUGUCACGACUACUUGUCCAAAAAAAUUGUUUCAUAGGUGUAUUUUCUGCCUUAUUUAAUCUGGUUCUUGAUGCUGCUAUGUGUUAUCAUAUGGUUUCUUUUUUCUUGAUGAAUAAUCUCAUAGUUUGUGAUGUUGUAGAUAACAAGAGAUAUAAUACUUGAUAAAGAAACAAGAGACACGGUACCUGUCAAAAAAUAGAAAAAGAGAAGAAGAGAUAGAUAUUACAUGAGCAUUGAAUGGUGUGACCUAGUUGUCAAUAAAGUGGGUACAAACCUUAGAGACUAGGGUUAAAUCCUAGCUGAGACCCCCCNNN
rnacentral:lncRNA from 1 species